UAGAUUUUUGGUUAAGUUAGUUAAAAAUUUUUAUAUUGGGCAUUCAACAGAAAUCUUGAUAAAAAAUGUAAAAGGGACGUGUCGUUACGAAAAUUUAUAAGUAGGUACAGACCUGUGAUUUAUAAAUUUCCCAUGAGUAAACUUUAUAUAAGAUAAAAAUAUAUAAUAAUGUGAAUUGAAUCAUCUUAGUAGCAUUUAAUCAAAAUCAACCGAGAGAUCGUGAUUAGCGGUGAGCCAAAGCGAUUAUAAAGCUUAAUUAACAUAUGAAUAUUUAAUUUAUAAAAAAAUUACUUUAAAAGGUAAAAGUCCUGUAAUGAGUUAAAAUUCAAAUGUUUGUAAGUAACGUGAAAUUUUUUAUUUUGCGCGAAUAGGGGAGAACCACCUUCCAAGCUUCUUAACUUUUUUUAAUCGAUAGUGAACGAGUACUGUGAAGAAAAGACGAAAAGUUCCGAAAGGCUAAAAUUUUAAAUUGGAUGUCCAUAAGUAUUCGAAAUUUCUAUCAGAAAUAACGGAGUUCCUUUUGCAUAAUGAGUCAGUAAGUUAAUAAGUAUAGCAAGUCAAUGUAUUUAUAAUUAGACUAAUUUGAAGUAAUAUUUAUUAAACCCGAAACCAAGUGAUCUAGUUAUGAGCAGGUUGAAAAUUCCUUAAUAAGUUUUUGAGGACCGAACUUCUAUAUGUAGCAAAAUAUAAAGAGGACUCGUGACUAGGAGUGAAAGUCUAAUCAAACUUGGAAAUAGCUGGUUUUUCACGAAACGUAUUUUAGUACGGCAUUAAUUACUUUAUAAAUUGAAGAUAAAGUUCAAGUUAAAUUAAGGGAUUUUUAAUUUACUUAAUUUGAUUUACCUUACAAUUUUAAUUUAAUGAAAUUAAUAGACAGUCUUUAGGCGAUAAGGUUUAAAGACGAAAGGGCAACAACCCAAAUCGCAUGUUAAGAUCUCUAAAGUACAAGUUCAGUGUGGAAGUUUUUGAAAGAAUCAAAUAAUUUUUUAAAUAGGCUUAGAAGCAGCCUUUUAUUAGAGAAAGCGUUUUAGCUCAUUAUUACUGUUUCAAAAAUUAAAAUAAUGGAGGCUUAAAUUGUAUAUCGAAACGGCGAAUUAUAUUUGAUGGUAGUGAAACGUUCUGUAAAAUUUAUUUUUAAUUUAAAAAUUAAAUUAAAGACUCAGAAGUGUCUAUGCUGACAUGAGUAGCGUAAACUAUGUUAAGAAAUCAUAGUCAUCUUACGUUUAAGGUUUUCGAUGUAAUUUCAAAUUCAUCGAGUUAAUCGGUCCUUAAGAGGAGAACAAUUGUGAAGGCUGUACUCGAUAGGAAUUACUAUGAAAUCUGCUAUAUAUGAUAUUUUAAGUCAUGUAAAAAGAAAGAGUAAAAUAUAAAGUGGUUUCUUUGAUCUAAUAUUCUUUUUUUCGAGAAAAAAUUAUAGCAUUUGAAGACCGUACUUAAACCGACACUGGGAAACCUAUUGAAUAUAUUAAGAUGAAUGAAUAAAUUAUAUUUAAGGAAUUAGGCAAAUUGACUUCGUAAGUUCGCGAUAAGAAGUGCCUUUAAUUUAGGUAAAAUAAAAUAAAAAACAACGACUGGUUAUCAAAACCACAGGACUUUGCAAAUUUAUAGAAAAAGUAUAAAGUCUGACGCCUGCCCGGUGCUUAAAAAUAAUGAGUUGAAGUUUUAGCUUUGCCUUUAAAAGUAAGUAAACGGCGGUUCUAACUAUAAGAAUCCUCAGGUAGCGAAAUUCCUUGGCGGGUAAAUUCCGUCCUGCAUGAAUGGCGUAACGAUUGUUUUACUGUCUUAAGUAUAAAUUCAGCGAAAUUACAAUACCUGUGAAAAUGCAGGUUACUUACAGCAAGACGGAAAGACCCUAGAUCCUUUACUUAAUUUUCAUAUUGUAAGAAUUAUAAGUUUGUGUAGAAUAAGUGGAAGUUAUAAACAUUCUUGAAAUACCACUCUUUGUUAGAUAAUAUCUUACUUAUUUAUCAAUAUCAUUAUUUAGGUAAAAAAAUUAUGAGAAGGAAAGUUUACUUGGGACGAGUAUCUCCUAAAAAGUAACGGAGAUGUACAAAAGUAAAUUAUAAAUGUGCAAUGGCUUAAAUUUGCUUGACUUUAAGAUUGAUAAAUCGAAUUGAGACGCAAGUCAGUCAUAGUGACCCGAUAUUUAAGUGUGGAAUUUAAUAUCGUUCAACAGAUAAAAGGAACUCUAGGGAUAACAGAUUCAUCGUGAUUGCGAGUCCAUAUCUAUGUCACGGUUUGAUACCUCGAUGUCGACUCAUCUUAUCCUGAAAUUGAAGUAGAUUUCAAGGGUCUAGUUGUUCGCUAGUUAAAAAGGUACGUGAGUUGGGUUCAGAACGUCGUGAGACAGUUCGGUCCCUAUCUGCUGUAAGUAUUGAAAAAUAAAGGUCUCUUUUCUAGUACGAGAGGAUCGAAAUGUCUUAACCUCUGGUCAAUUGAUUGUUAAACCAUUAGCAUAGUCAAGUAGCUACGUUAAGUUUGUAUAAAUACUGAAAGAAUCAAUAGUAUCAAAACUUACCUUGAAUUUUUCUAGAAUAUUCUAAAAGACUAUUAGAUUGAUCGAUUUAAAAGCUUUUUUAGCAAUAAAAAUCUUUGAUAAAUACGAAAAUAUUCAAUAAAAUAUUUUAAGUUAAC
rnacentral:rRNA from 1 species